rnacentral:lncRNA from 1 species
UGAAAUCCUUUGGAAUCUUGGCAGAUGGACCCAAUCCAUAAGUCCAGCCAUCAACUGAUUAAGUUUUAGUCUGCCUGUCCGUCUUCUGCCUGUCUGUCUUGUUGGCUCCUCGAAGUAAAUCCCUGCUUUUUCUCCCUCCCCCUCCCCCCCAACCCUUUUUCCUCUUGAGAUCCACCUUCCUCUCUGGUCUGAACUCUCUUCCUCACAGGGCAGCGCUGUCUAAUGAGAGAGCUGUCCCUCUAGGCUGCAGACGAUCGGUCGGUCACCUCUGUGCAUUCUCACACUUCGGCUGCUGGAGGUCAGCCAGCCCCUCCUCGGACUUGGCCGGUUACUCCGGCCUCUCGUCCCAACAGCACUCUGCUGAGACUUAACUUCCUAAACCCGAGGCUCCUCAAGUCCCUUCCCCGCAUGGCCACAAACACAUUUUAUCCUAAUGCAGUUGAAGCCCUCACCACAUCUGGCUUUGACUUCUUGGUUUUCCUGCGGCUUGGUUUUCCGUGUGCUCAGUGCGCCCCCUGUCCUGGGCAGUCAAGGCUCUGCUCUCUGUUGAGGUAUUUAUUCCUCUGGCCUUCUCGUUGCAAAGAGAGGCCUGGCUUGCGUUCUAUAUUCUCCUGGUCCUGGUGCGUUCUCAGUGUAGGGUGUGGCCAUUUUGCCUGUGUCAGGAUUAUAGUUUGAACCCCCGCUUCCAUUCAUUAGAGGUGGUUUUGUUCUUGUUUUCUUUCGAAAGACCGUAGGACUUUUAAAUGCCAUUUAAUGCUCUGUAGUAAGUCCUCGGGUAGACCCUUCUUAGAUUUUUCUUGAAGCUUUGCUUUGAGAAUCUUAAUCGUGAGUCUGCAGAUCAGGCUACUAGCGAGCACAACCAUGUGGUUGCUGGGAAUUGAACUUAGGAUCUCUAGGAAGAGCAGUCGGUGCUCUUAACCUCUGAACCGUCUCCCCAGCCUGGGACUUAUUUUUAACAUUUCAGUGAUAAUACAUCUCUGCACCCACAGCUACCCACUGCAGUGAGUCUCUGACCAGGUUGGGGAACAGCACAAAUCUACAGGUGUAAAUAGAAUGAUCUAGAGGACAGUUGGAUAACAUGAACAUUUGGAUGUGUAAAGAAGCGCUACUGUUUUGGAAACUAAUUAGAAAUACAGGUAUUUUUUUCUUUUUUUAAUGAAGUUUCAAUAGAAGUAGCCCACAUUUAGUGCUCCUCCCAGAAGACAUGGGCUAUCAAGUGAAACUCUCAGCGGCAGGCACAGGUUGUUAAGGUCCCAGAGAUAACCAGAACCAGUCAGGCUUUUUCCAUUGCUCUUGGCUGCCCACCCCUCAGUAGAUGGUAAGACUCUGUUGCUGAAAACAUCAUCCUCUUUGGUGGCACGACACUGAGAAAUCAAUCUGGAAUUGACCAGGAAACUCAUUGCUGGGUAGCUUUCAUAGUUCUAGAAGGCUCCAUACGGGCAUCUGGUCUUACCCAGUGCUGGGCCAGGCACGCUGCAAAACUGACUUCCCAGGCAAGACGUGCUCACUGUGCAAUAGUGGUGUGACUCUGAGGAGAAGCUUGGGUCUGACAUCUGUUCCCCAGGAGGGAAUUCAUCCCCGAUGCUGGGAACAGGGUUGCUUGUUUUGUUGCUUUCUUUCAAUGGUGAGAGGAUGAUGUGCUGUUGACUUGUUACCACGUGGAGUCAUAAAAGCUGCCUGGUGAUAAGAUGUGGGAAGGCCAGUUUACUCUCGAGUGACCUGUCUGAGCUCUCCUGAAUUCCAUCCAGUCUCAAGCUAAGGAACAAGGCCUUGGGAGAGACUUCCUCACCCUUCCCUGCACGUGCACCUGCGUUUCUUCUUUCUUACACUGAGGGGGUCGGUGGCUGAGAGUGAAGGAAUAUGUGUCCCCACUCCUCUCUUAGCUGUCCCCUCCCUUCAGCUGCACAGAUGCUCCAACCCCUUAAAAGGGACCGACUUCCCACGCUUGAUGAACAAAGCAGCGGUUCUGGUUUGUUGCGGGCCCCGCCCUGCCAGAGUUCACCGGGACUGGACUGUCCUGCAAAGGAGAGAUUCGUAUGGUGGCCCAGAUCCCUUUUGCUAUUUUUACCUUCUGUUUUGGGUUUUGUUUUCCGUGUUCUGGGAAUCAGCCAAGCAAACCUGGAGGUUGCAGGACACAUUCGGAAACAUAAGGUUACAUUGUUGCCUCACUUGAUCUUGAAAUCUUUAGCUAAAGAUGAUUCCUCUAACUGGAAUAUCCCAAGGGACUGGUUUAAAGUUUGCCCCCUCCUUGGCUUUUUUUGUUCACUGGACGGCUCUUGUAGCUGAGGGGCAUCCAUCCAUCCCCCAGGAGUGGGAGAGGGCCUGGGGUUCGGGAAGCCCUUUCUUACCCUUCUAGGAUUCAUCCUUCAUUUCACGCUGGCUCACUUUUGUUCUUACCUCUAGACUCCCUUCUGUUUUCCUUCUCCCCUUUCCCUCUUUUCUUGCUCUUUCUCUCUUCUGACUCUGCUCCUUACGUUUCUGGCCAAAUAUGUUUCUGGGAGCCCAUGAUUUGUUGCAUGUUUGGGGGCUGUCCUGUUCUCAGCUUGAUGGAAAUUUGGCAUUCGUGUAAAAUCGGUUCCCUUACAUCUAGGUCUUUGUGUGAAAUCCACACUUAGGAAGAGUAGGGCUUUAGAUAGAUAGAUUUGUUCUUGUACCAGUUAGAGUCUCAUUAACUGAUCUCUCUCUCUCUCUCUCUCUCUCUCUCUCUCUCUCUCUCUCUCCCCGUGUGUGUGUGUGUGUGUGUGUGUGUGUGUGUGUGUGUGUGUGUGUGUGUGCGUGUGCCCGCACACCAUCACCUCAAGUGCUUUCCCUGUUGUAAAAUAAAAGACAGGUCCCGGAAGAGCACUCUCUUUCAGCGUGGUUCAUUUACAGUGAAGUCAGUCUCCUUGGCUCCUGUGUAUCAAGGUGUGUUUCCCCUUCUCUCUGGGCCUUGGACACAAUCCCGGGAAAAGCCCAGGAAAUCAUUUCUGUGACCCUGUCUCCCGCCUUCCAUGAAACGUACCACAACCCUUGUACUAUGAGCCUAAAUGGAGAAUAUCAAAAGUGAACACAAAAACCCCACAUACACCCACCCGACCUGUGAUACAGACUAAAGGUAAAAAAGUGGGGAUUCUUUUCUCCAUUAUGGUGAAGCCAUCUGGGGAAAGAACGUAGGUUUUCAGUAGAAACAAAGUCUCAGAUGGGAGAAGGGCCAGUGGCACCUCCCCGACCCGCGCCUUAAAUUCUAGAUUUUUGUUUAGGAUUAAAGAGGAAGAAAAGACACAUCGACCAACCCCACUUUGAAUUUAUAAACCUGGCCUUCCAGUUUACUGCUUGCCACCAGUUCCCAGAGGCUCCACCAAGAGUAAUAAAUGAUAUGUGUUGUGUCAUCUGGGGGUUCUUGAUGGUUUCAGAGAGAGAGAGAGAGAGAGACAGAGAGAUUAUAUGGGGCUUGCUAUUUAAUUGAAUUAGAAAAUAGGUCUGUAAGUAAACAGAACCAGGACAUAGUGUCCUGACUGUGCUCCGCGGUCUCUUGGAGUGCCCAGGGCGCUGAGAGAGUGGCAUGAUGGGAAGGUGCUGCUAUUCCAGCGGAAAAUGCUUGCGUCCUGGGAUCCCCUACGGGGGUUUCCAGGUAAGGAGACGCGUCAAACUCGCGCCAGGAAGCCAUCUACAGGGAGAACCCGGCUGACUAAAGUUCAGUAGCAGAUUCCACACAGGGCUCUAGAAACUGUCUGGCUCCUUUAGAGUCUUCUGCAAAGGAAAAGAAAAUGGAGUUUGUGGGAGGGUGGGAGUAAACUGUGUUUAUCAGCUGGGUCAGCUUCUAAGCUUCUUUGACCUUGAUGGCAAACACGUUUUCCCUGUCUGCCAGUGCCCUGUGUGGACAUAGGGUAACCGGUAACUUUUCAGUGCCGUAUAAUCUGUAAACAUGUAUAAAUCAGGGCACCGCGGUGGUCAGCCACUGCCCAUACAGUUGAAGUUCUCAUGCGGUUAUAGGUGCAUCAUAAAAUGAGGAGAUUGGUUUUAAAAUCUAUCCCAGAAAUGUCUUUAUUUUCUGUGCUUAAGACCAGAGAGUCUGGUAAGUCUUGGCUUCAGUUAACACUGCUGCCUUUAAUCUAAGAUGUCAGUGACUUAUUCUCACUGUGGCUACAGAAGGACAGAUUUUUUUUUUUUCCCUUUUUGGUUUAGUUCCUGAUUUUUUCAGACUGGUUACCCAAUCGCUUUAAAGGACGUUUAGUAUGAACAAUGAGCCUUUGGACCACAAAGUUCCUUAUGUGCUUACAAUAAAACUACAUUAUGGAAUGUUAUCAGUGACUAUUGCUUCUUUCUCUCUUUUUUUUCUUUCUUUUCUUUUCUCACAGAGAAACCACUAUGAUAUACAUUUCGUGGAUUCAAAACCCAGACUUU